AUGACAAUCACCUUCGGUGAUGGUACCGAAAACAAGAAAAUCAAGAUUACCAAGGAAGUUAUACACAAGGUGUUUGGAUACCCAAACGGCACGGAAAAGUCAGCACCAAGGCCAGCGAAGAGCCCAACUUCAAUGAAAGAACUGAUGUCAGACCUUGGCUUCAAACAUACAAAUUUCAAGCCAAAAGAACUGUUCAGGGAGCUAAAAAUAUUGGUGGAACUAGAUGACGAACAGUCAAACAGGAAAUCAGUUAAAAUAUUUUUUCUUAUUUUUUUCCACAACGUUGUCUACGGGUCAAGCACCGCUAUCUUCGCCCGACAAGCUAUAAUGGUAGAGGACAUGGACUAUCCAGAGAUGGCAAAGAUGGAUUUCUGCGAGGUAAUCGUCGAAUGUAUUAAGGAAGGAGCCAAGGUAUGGCAGAAACACAGAAAUUUGCCUCAGGAAGAAAAGAACAAAAAGCAUGUCAAUGGUUUGGCACAGGGGCCAGUAAUCAUGUACCUCGACUCCCUGCUGCUGCCAACCGACACAAAAGAAAUGUGGAAGAUUGCAAAGACAAUGGACAAGACCUCAUUACCACAAGCAAACCAUCUCAAAGAGAGUGACCUAGCGAAAAUAGCUAGAGAAGACAUGAAAAGGGACGGAAAAGCAUGA
rnacentral:rRNA from 1 species